GGGGCAAUCAGGAGAUCACUCUCUUGUUCUCCUCUCUUCUCUGGGAGCUGCCAUGUGAGCCGGACAAGAGAGGAUGCAUGCCGCCAGCACCCUCUAUCAGAUAAGUCCUUAUAAAAUAUAUAGAUUAAUAAUUAUGGUUGGUACUUAAGACAGAGAUAGCAGAUAAGAAAUCCAAGUCAUUGGCCAGCAGCAUUGUACCUAAUAUUAAUCUCUCUGUGUUAUUUCGGGCUCUCACCUGGCAGCGGGGCUUGGGCUGCUUGGCUGAAAGAGUUAUCAUUACAGAUAAACAUGGGUCCAAAAGUGAAAUUAAUGAGAAUGUGUCAUAGAAGUUGUUACAUGGGGGAAUUGAACAACUGGUGAGCAUGAAGGAAAACCUAGAUAAAAUUUGGAACUAUGUGUGAAGAAUUCAGAAGUCUCAAUCUCCUUUGAACACAAACAAUUCAGCAAAGAACUCUACUCAAGGAAGUAACUAGUGAAAACGUGAAAACUGCCUAAGCUGGCAGAAAAAUGCUACAAUAACCUUUGACCAUGAAGACAGAGCAUUGGAGAUACAGUAUGGAAAAGAUAUUUCUUCUUAAAUUUAAUGAGAGCAUAUCCCUUUUUAAAAGAGAGAUCACAGAACAAGUUAGACACAAGAGGAUGGCCAUUAGAGAGAAGGAUGAGUGCCAGUUUGUGAAGUGCUGCUUCAGCUGUCCCAAGAGACUCCCUGCCAAACACGCUCAAGAAGGAAAUACAAAAUCAGACAUCUGUAUGUGUGCAGCAUCCACCAUGUUUGCUCUGAGCAGAGGGAACCAUAUGAAGCAAGACAGCAAAGGUGAAAUCCAACAAGAUAGCCUACUUUAUUGCCAUGGCAACCCAACCCUGAUGAAAAGAAGAAAAACAAUAAAAUAUCCGUGGAAAAAAAGGAAAGCCGUGCCAUGAAUACCUAUGAUUGGAGAAAAGGUGCACUCAUGGGCAGAGUCUGGCAUUGUCACUUGUGGGUGAUCUCUUAUAAUAAAGUCAAGGGUACAGCUUCUGGGAAAUGCUGAUUUUAAAGCAAUCAUUUUUCUAAAUUAUUCAGCUCGUCCCGUUACUAAAUUCAGAUUUAUAUGUGAAAAAAAUUGUAGCUUCAGAUUAAAAUCUUAAGUGUUACUGAAGAGGUCAAAGCAUUAACCUGCCACUCUCUCUAUGUCUCUGACAAUACCUUGCCAUCAUACAUAGGAUAGAUUGUGUGUUCAGUGAGGAAGAAAAGUUCCAUAGUAUUCUGCCACAUGUUUUAAAUGAAUGCUGCAGUUUAUUUAUAAAAUAGGCUUUUUCAAAUUCUUCCAUUAUCACUAGAAAUACUAUCACUUCCGUUUAUUUAUUGGCACAUAGUUUGGUAGAGAGAGGCAACAUUUUUUGACUAUUGUAGCUUCCUCCAUCUGCACAGACAUAGAGAAUUGUGAGGUCCUUCUGAUGAUUAUUUUUAUUCAAAUUAAACCUCGGGUUUGCAGCAGAAGUCCGAGAAACUGGGUUAGUUUCCUUUUCUUUACUGAAAGAAUGAGAUAUACCAAUGAAAAUUGAGACUUGAAAAAUAUAUGCAGAUAAGUAACAUUUAAUUGCAUUAUUAUUACACUAUUUAGUCAAUAACUAAAUAUAUGAAUUACUUUAUAGUGACUGACUUUUGAUAAUAUGUAGAAGUGAAUGUGUUUGUGUGCAUGUGCAUAUACUUGCAUGUGUAUAUAUAGACAGAUAAAACAAACUCAGCAAUAGGAUAUUAUUUAUCUUGUAUUUGCAAAUCUUAUAUUAACAUUUUUGGUACCUUUAUGCUUUGCUAUGAAUUUGAAUUUUUAAUAUAAUUGGGUGGUCUUCAUUUUAAUUAGAAUUAAUUUUGCAUUUAUUGUGAUGAUCUGUGUUAGAAAUGAAUUAAUUUCUUUAUUAAUUGGAAUCAUUGUCAUUUAAAAUCUAUUAAAAAUACUAGUUCCACUGGAUAUUCAUUCUUAUUUUAUAGGGUUUUGUUAGUACCUAGAGAAUGUUGUUUUAUGAUUUUGUUUCCUUUGUUUUUGAUGAGAACUUAGUCAUUAAUUGUAUUAAAAUAUUGUAGAUAACACUUCAAUGAUUUUUCCUCUUUUUCAUUUGUAAUUGAUUGAUGUAUACAGUUAUGAUUCUCUUUGAGCCAAUAUUAUUUGAUUGUUCAUUGAAGUUGCUGAAUGUACACACUAAUGCUUUUGUCAACUCUGGGGGAUUUAGAGUCACCAUUAUUCUUUAAAUUUGUUUUUGACAUUUUCUCUUCUGGAACGACAUAAUUUUUGAUGGCAAGAUUUUCAUAUACUCUCUAAAUAUCUAUUUAAUUAUCUAUGCCUCAAUGUUUUCACUCUCUAUUUUUGAGCAAAUAAAACCAUUGUUUUAUCCCCAAACUGAGUAAUUAUUCCUUUUGAUAUCAUAAACAUUUGAAAUUAUUAAGCAGAACUUUAAG
ensembl:lincRNA